UCCUGGCUCAGGACGAACGCUGGCGGCGUGCCUAAUACAUGCAAGUCGAGCGAAUUGAUGGGAGCUUGCUCCCUGAUAUUAGCGGCGGACGGGUGAGUAACACGUGGGCAACCUGCCUGUAAGACUGGGAUAACUCGCGGAAACGUGAGCUAAUACCGGAUAAUUCUUUCUAACACAUGUUAGGAAGCUAAAAGAUGGUUUACGCUAUCACUUACAGAUGGGCCCGCGGCGCAUUAGCUAGUUGGUGAGGUAAUGGCUCACCAAGGCGACGAUGCGUAGCCGACCUGAGAGGGUGAUCGGCCACACUGGGACUGAGACACGGCCCAGACUCCUACGGGAGGCAGCAGUAGGGAAUCUUCCGCAAUGGACGAAAGUCUGACGGAGCAACGCCGCGUGAGUGAUGAAGGUUUUCGGAUCGUAAAACUCUGUUGUUAGGGAAGAACAAGUAUCGGAGUAACUGCCGGUACCUUGACGGUACCUAACCAGAAAGCCACGGCUAACUACGUG
rnacentral:rRNA from 1 species